GCCUUCAUGGUGUAACGGUAGCACACUCGGCGCGUAAUCGAGAGGUCCAGGUUCGAACCCUGGCAAGGGCA
rnacentral:tRNA from 1 species